rnacentral:tRNA from 1 species
GCCUUCGUGGUGUAGUGGCCAGCGUGCUCGACACGUAAUCGAUAGGUCCGUGGUUCGAUUCCCGACGAAGGCG